rnacentral:rRNA from 1 species
AUGAACGUUGGCGGCGUGGAUUAGGCAUGCAAGUCGUACGGACCAUGGUAGCAAUAUUAUGGUUAGUGGCGCAAGGGAGAGUAAUACGUAGGCAUUUACCCUGGGGUCUGGGAUAGCGGCGGGGAAACUGCCGGUAAUACCAGAUGAUAUCUCCGGAUCAAAGGUGUGAUUCCGCCCUAGGAGAAGCCUGCGGUCUAUCAGCUAGUUGGUAGGGUAACGGCCUACCAAGGCAAAGACGGAUAUGGGGCGUGAGAGCGUGCCCCCACUCACUGGGACUGAGACACUGCCCAGACACCUACGGGUGGCUGCAGUCGAGAAUCUUCGGCAAUGGGCGCAAGCCUGACCGAGCGACGCCGCGUGCGGGAUGAAGGCCUUCGGGUUGUAAACCGCUGUCGAAGGGGAGGAAAUUGUAGUGGGUUCACCCAUUAUAUUGACCGAUCCUUGGAGGAAGGGCCGGCUAAUCUCGUGCCAGCAGCCGCGGUAAUACGAGAGGCCCAAACGUUAUUCGGAUUUACUGGGCUUAAAGAGUUCGUAGGCGGUCUGGCAAGUGGGGUGUGAAAGCCCUCGGCUCAACCGAGGAAUUGCGCUCCAAACUGCCAGGCUCGAGGGAGAUAGAGGUGAGCGGAACUGAUGGUGGAGCGGUGAAAUGCGUUGAUAUCAUCAGGAACACCAGAGGCGAAGGCGGCUCACUGGGUCUUUUCUGACGCUGAGGAACGAAAGCUAGGGGAGCAAACGGGAUUAGAUACCCCGGUAGUCCUAGCCGUAAACGAUGAGCACUGGACCGGAGUUGUGCACACGAUUUCGGUCGUAGCGAAAGUGUUAAGUGCUCCGCCUGGGGAGUAUGGUCGCAAGGCUGAAACCCAAAGGAAUUGACGGGGGCUCACACAAGCGGUGGAGGCAUGUGGUUUAAUUCGAGGCUACGCGAAGAACCUUAUCCUAGCCUUGACAUGCUAGGACGUCUUCCUGAAGGAUGGAGUGCCUUCGCCUCGAGGAGCCUUUCACACAGGUGCUGCAUGGCUGUCGUCAGCUCGUGUCGUGAGAUGUCGGGUUAAGUCCCGCAACGAGCGCAACCCUCGUCCUUAGUUACCAGCGAGUCAAGUCGGGGCACUCUAGGGAGACUGCCGGUGAUAACCGAGAGGAAGGUGGGGAUGACGUCAAGUCCUCAUGGCCCUUACUGACUAGGGCUGCACACGUGCUACAAUGGCGGUGCACAAGUGGAUGCUAAACUCUGCGAGAGCCAGCCAAUCGCCAAAAAGCCGUCUCCAGUUCGGAUUGUCAGGCUGCAACUCGACGGCAUGAAGCUUGGAAUCGCUAGUAAUCGGGGAUCAGCAUGCCAGCGGUGAAUGCUGUUCCCUGAGCCUUGUACACACCGCCCGUCACAGCCAUGGAAGUUGGGGGCGACCCGAAAGCACUGUGCGCUAACCGCAAGGAGCAAGCGGCCACGUAAGGGAAUCAGCUGACUGGGGUG